UACAGAGGGUGCAAGCGUUAAUCGGAAUUACUGGGCGUAAAGCGUGUGUAGGUGGUUAGAUAAGUUAGAUGUGAAAUCCCUGGGCUUAACCUGGGCACUGCGUUUAAGACUGUUUAACUAGAGUACUGUAGAGGAUAGUGGAAUUUCCAGUGUAGCGGUGAAAUGCGUAGAUAUUGGAAGGAACACCAGUGGCGAAGGCGACUAUCUGGACAGAUACUGACACUGAGACACGAAAGCGUGGGGAG
rnacentral:rRNA from 1 species